rnacentral:rRNA from 1 species
UGGGGAAUAUUGGACAAUGGGCGAAAGCCUGAUCCAGCCAUGCCGCGUGUGUGAAGAAGGUCUUCGGAUUGUAAAGCACUUUAAGUUGGGAGGAAGGGCAUUAACCUAAUACGUUAGUGUUUUGACGUUACCGACAGAAUAAGCACCGGCUAACUCUGUGCCAGCAGCCGCGGUAAUACAGAGGGUGCAAGCGUUAAUCGGAAUUACUGGGCGUAAAGCGCGCGUAGGUGGUUUGUUAAUUUGGAUGUGAAAUCCCCGGGCUCAACCUGGGAACUGCAUUCAAAACUGACUGACUAGAGUAUGGUAGAGGGUGGUGGAAUUUCCUGUGUAGCGGUGAAAUGCGUAGAUAUAGGAAGGAACACCAGUGGCGAAGGCGACCACCUGGACUAAUACUGACACUGAGGUGCGAAAGCGUGGGGAGCAAACA